UAACUCUGCGCCACUGUUGCGGAGGAAGGUAGCAGACCGGGCCGAGCAAUCUAGACGGGGAGGCAGCGGGAGCGUGCGAGACUGUGCGGCGAGUCGACUCAGUCAAUCCGAGUCAGCGAGUCGGGCCGGGCAAGCUCUCAGUGGUGCCGUGGACCCGCGAGUGGAAGGACGUCUACCGUACCUCAAUGUCCCCUUCUCGCCUGCUCCAAGACUUCACUACGGCGUUGACAUCGGCCUUGAAGGAGUCUCGGUGAUCGGCAAGGAGGAGGAAAGGAGGUCUGAGGAACAAUAAGUCAAAUUUCCUCUGUUUGGUGGCCGCGGUGCUGCUGACGAAGGAAUCGGGUACAAAGGACACAAACACCAAGGUUGAGACUGUGUAAGGUGAUACUGUGAACAAAACAAACCCCGAAAAAACAGACACAAAAUAACACCGAGGUCAACACACACGCAGUGAUCCCAACGAGGCCGAGAACAGUUCCCGGCGUGCCGGUGACCGCAGGGCGCCAUGGACCCCGCCAAGAUCCUGCAGAUCAUCACCAACAGCACCUGGAUGGUGACUCGUCUGGUGGGCAGCGACCCCGUGGAGUUCGAGAAGCAGCAAUACCUGGUGGAGGUGCCCGAGAACACGGCCAGCGUCCCCUUGCUGCGCCUCACCGCCAAGGUCACGCCGCCAGGGAGAGCCGUCCAGUUUGGGAUCAAGUCGGGCAACGAGGGCGGCUACUUCGGCCUGGAUGGUGGCAGUGGCCAGCUCUCCCUCGUCCGGCCGCUGGACUACGAGGCUGAGACACAGCACGUGCUGGUGGUGGAGGCUCGGGCGGAGGAGGGGAGCAGCGAGGCGGUGGUGGUGGUGGCGGUGAAGGACGUUAACGAUCACGCCCCCGCCUUCCCGAGAUCGGCCCUCCUCAUGCAGCUGACGGAAGGCGAUGGCCGACACCUCCCCAAACCCAUCCUGAAGGUGACGGCAACGGACGGCGAUAAGGGAGAGUUUGGCCGUCUUUAUUAUAGCCUCUCCGGUGAUGGCGUGUCCUCCUCCUCCUCCUCCUCCUCGUCGUCGUCGUCCACGCCCGCCGCCACUCUCGCACCGCCGCCCAGCUUCGCCAUCGACCCCUCCAGCGGCGACAUCCUCCUGCUCAGGCCUCUGGACCGGGACCCCCCAGACGGACGGGCGGUGUGGCGUCUGCUGGUGACGGCCACGGACGGCGAGCUGCGGGCGUCCAUGAGCGUCACCAUCAACCUCAAGGACGUGAAUGAUAACGCGCCGCACUUCCCCGAGCCCCACGUCACCGUCACCAUCCCUGAGGACGCCCCGGAAGGCACUUCCGUCGUGCAGGUGUCCGCAAUGGAUCUGGACGACCCUUUGGAGGGCCACAACGCACAGCUCGUCUACUCCCUGGAGAGGAACGUAGUUGAGGCGGCCUCGGGGAGUCCUAUCUUCGCUGUUGACCCUCGGGAAGGCCUCGUCACGACCACGAUGUGUUGUCUGGACCGGGAGAAGACCGAGAGCUACGUGCUUCAUGUGGUGGCGACUGACGGCGGGGGGCUCAAAGGUACCAGCACAGUGCAGGUGAAGGUGAGCGACGUGAACGACGAGGCCCCGCGUUUCUCCGUGGCCGAGUGGUUCCUGGACGUGAGGGAAGGCCACCCGCCGGGCCACCCCAUCGCCUCCCUCAGCGUCAUCGAUCCGGACACCUUCAACGACUUCGCCUUCAGGGUGGUGCCGGGCAGCGGGCCGGGGUGGGAGCUCUUCACGGUGGAGGCGAGUGGCGGGGGGACCGAAAACGACACCGAGAAGACGACAACGGAUGAGAAAACUAAAUCCAAUAACGUUAAGAAAGAGCAAGUACCUGAGAGUGAGGAGACGGCCACCAGAGUAAGCGAAGAAAAGAAAACCGGUGGCGGGAGAGGCGGCGCCCGGAUGGAGCUGCGAGCCGAGAGGGAACUUGAUUACGAGACCCCGGAGCACCAGCAAGGCUUCAGGUUCCGCGUGCAGGUGACGGACAAGGGGGCGGAGGGCUGGAGCGAGCGGCGGAGGAUCGGCAGCGCCUGGAUCAACAUCAACCUGAUAGACGCCAAUGACAACACGCCCACCCUAGCCAAGGACCACGCCCACCGCACCGUGCCGGAGGACGCGCCCCAAGGCAUGCUGCUGGCCACAUUCGCCGCCACCGACGCAGACGGGGCAGGCCGCGGAACCAUGCACUACGCCAUCAGCCCGGCCAGCGACCCCGACCACCUCUUCCACGUGGACGCGGCAGGCGCUGUGCGGGUGGCGGGCGGCCUCGACAGGGAGAAGACCCCCGCCCACACCCUGCUCGUGUGGGCGGCGGACGACGGCGUGCCGCCCCAGACUGCCACGGCCACCCUCACCGUGACCGUCACGGACGUCAAUGACAACCCUCCUUUUCUGAGCGACCCGGAGGAAGGUGUGGAGGUGGAGGAGAACGGCGGUGCCAAGGUAGUGGCGAGGGUCAAGUUGGGUGACGCUGACGACUGGCGGCUCGGCCACGGCCCGCCCUUCAGCCUCGCCCUUGACCCCCAGGCCCCGACGCACGUGUCCUCCCUCGUCAAGGUGGAGUUUGAUCCCAAGGGGGACGACGGGCGGGGCGUGGGCGUGGUGUGGGUGCAGGGGCCAUUGGACAGGGAGGAGAGGAACGCCCUGCUGGUGCCCCUGGUGGUGGGGGACGCCGCGCCCCAGCCAUGCACCGCCACCGUCACGCUCACCCUCACCGUGGGGGACCAGGACGACAACCCCCCCAUGCCCGCCGCCAAGACCGUCGUGGCGCAUGUGCUGAAGCAGGGAGAUGUCAGUGGGAGGGUGCCGCUGGGCCGGGUCUUCGUCAAGGAUCCCGACGAAAGAGUGGAGGAGAGGACCUACGCGUGGAGGGUCCCGCCGUCCUUCCAGGGCUUCACGCUGCACCCCGCCACCGGACACCUGGACAUGGCCCCCGCCGCGCCGCCCGGUCGAUAUGACCUUCAGUUCGAGGUCAUCACGCCCAGCCAAGGUCGGGUCGCCAUCCCGGCCAACGUCAGCAUCUUGGUGGAGCAGGUGACCUCAGAGGACGUCGCCAGCGCCGUACCCCUCACCCUCCCGGCGCCGCCCAGCCGAGUGAUAGGUACAUCCGUUCUUCACAAGCUGGUGGAGGCUGCGCAAGCGUAUCUUGGCCUUCAAGAGGGCGGUGUGAGAGCCAUGACACUUCAGGCCGGGAACCAAGGAGCAGCCCAGCCUCACGACACAACCCACGUGUGGCUUGUUGGUCCCGACGCCUCGGCCCUUCACCACUCCCUCCUCUACCGCCGAGAACAGCUGAGCCACACCCUGGGCGUGGGUGUGGUGGAGGUGGGGGUGGGUGAAUGUUUGGUGACGGACAGCCCCUCCCCCCACCUCGAGCUAUGUGACGAGGAGCGUGUGGGCGGCUACAGUGUGGUUGACGCAGACUCGGUGGCUGUGGUGGGGCCCAGGAUGAGGUUUGGCUUUGGAUGUGGCUGUGAGUGUGGCCGCCGCCGUGGGUGUGAGCGGUGCGCCCUGUCGACCGCCCCGCCCACCCACACCUGUACGGAGCGUUCCUGCCUCAACGGUGGCCGCUGCUACCCCACGACGGAGGGUGUGAGGUGCGCGUGUCCUCUAUCCACCGCCGGCACCACUUGUAAGGUUUUCAUGCGACACUUCCGAGGAGAAGAAAACACAGGCGGGUGGGCCUGGGUUGCCGCCAUCCCGCCGUGCCCGGAGGUCCAUAUAUCCCUGGAGAUCCUUACCGCGUCACGGGAGGCUAUCUUGCUGUACUCGGGCCCCGACCACGUGGCCCCCAUGGCUCCCCUCCCCGAGGCCGGGGCGUCUCGGGAAGUCCUGCUGCUGGAGCUGCGGGGCGGCAGACCCUUCCUGAUGCUGGAUCUGGGCGACGGCACCGUCACUCUCUCCCUCACGGCUUCCUACUCCCUCGCUGACUCCACGUGGCACAGAAUCGACGUGAUCUGGAGAGAUGAGCUGGUGGAGAUGGUGGUGGACCUGUGCUCGGGAGGCGGGGUUGACGGACCCUCCACACACGUAACAGACGACUCCACCACCACAAUGCCGCCUCUCUUUGUGCCCCCGGACGCCCACACGUGUCGCGGCGCCGACAGACUACCGGCCGCCGCACGCUCACUCAACUACCUGAGGCCCCUGCAGGUCGGGGGUCUGGCCCACCCGGCGCCCGCACACGACACGUACGGCUGGCCCGAGCCCAUCAAGGCCCGCCAACUGAAGGGCUGCAUAAGAAAUCUGAGGGUGAACGGUGAGCUGCGGGACCUUGGGCAGGGCGUCCUGAGUAGCGGCAGUGUCCCCGGCUGUCCUGCGGCAGAGUGUCCUUCCAACAGCCUCAACUGCGGCCUACACGGGAGGUGUCAGGUGUUAGACGGGGCGACACGCUGUGAGUGCACUUCGGGGUGGGCGGGGCCGGAGUGCUCCAUGCCCACGACGCCGUCCACCUUUCACCUGCAUAGUUUUGUUAGGCUGGCCCUCUCCUUCUCGCCCCUCGGCUACACCACGUCUGUCAGCCUCAGGUUCAGGACGCGGCAGACUGACGGUGACUUAGUGAUGCUCUCGUCAGGGGGCGGCGACCGUUUUGGUGUGCAUCUGCUGCGUGGGCACGCGUGUGUUCUGCUGCAGCUGCACCCGGCCGCCCCCAGAACGCUGUGUCUUGUCCAGGUGAGGCUGACAGACGGUCAGUGGCACCAGCUCCACGCGGCGAGGUACGGGUCAGCCACUUUCCUCACGGCCGACGAAGGGGACGGCGACCUGUACAACGCCUCGAUCUCCCUGGAGGGUCGGCAGCUGCUGCAUCUGGACUGGGAGGCCGGGGUGGUGAUCGGGGGCACGCCACACAGCGGGGGAAACGCUGAAGCAGCAUCACAGCGGGACUUCCUCGAGGGUUGCCUUGAUGACGUGAGGAUCUCCGGCCGCCCCGUCCCGCUGCCGCCCAUCCUCAACAAGACGGCGUGGGGCUACGUGAGCGAGGCGCGGGGCGUCGGGGCGGGCUGUGAGGCUCCCCAGGCGUGCCACAACGUCACCUGCCGCUCACCACUCACCUGUGUUGACACCUGGAGGUCGUACCACUGCACAUGUGACGAAGGUCGAGUAAUGUCAGAGGACGGCAGCAGGUGCCUCGCCCUGAAUCCGUGUGCCUGGAACCCCUGCCUGCACGGGGGAACCUGCCUCCCCACUGACACAGGGUUCACAUGCAGCUGCUCGUCGGGGUUCGCCGGGCAACACUGCCAACUGCCGGUGCCUGGCGCGGCCUCCCUCAGACUCUCCCUGCCCGGCCUCCUCGCCCUGCUCGUGUGCAUCCUUCUCCUCCUCCUAGUGUGUGCCUUCCUCCUGCACCAACACCACCGCCGCUCGGCACUGCGUCGGGGAGCAGGAGACGGCAAGGAGUCCACCACCCCAGUCGGGACCAAAGGGCAGAUGUCUCCGUCACACCCAGGCAGCCAUUCACCUUACCUCCUGGAGCUCCGGCCCAUCCCUCCCACAAGAGUUAACGGCCAGCUGGCGACGAGCACCUACCCCAACAUAGCAGAUGAUAUUCUUCCGUUGGCAGAUGUCGACGUUCUACAAGUGGACGCAGCAUCCAUUACAAGCAGUGUCGAAGAGCAGCAGCAGAUUCAGCUGUGGGGCUGCCUUGGUAGUCAGGCAGAAGGCGAGGGAGGCGGUGGUCCUGCAGACAAACGGGAGGAACAGAGUGUACGUAAUGAUCCAAGAACCUACGCCCACGAGAGGGGAGGCUCGUUUCCUGGUUCAUUGUCAUCCGUUCAAAAGGCUGCCACUGGGAACCCCAGAGCCUAAGUGAUAAACACUAACGUGAAUGUCAAGAUACGAUCAGUCUUCAAAAGGCAAAGAAUCCUGAAAAGGCAAAAUGCUUGCAAAAGAAAAGAGGUCAAGAAGGAAACAAGGAAUAAAAUUGCAUACAGGGGACAAAUAUCAUCACCAGCAGUCCCCUUCCCCUUCCCCUUUCAACACGAACCACAGAAGCUCUGGCCGCCAUGCAAAGCUACAAAGUGACCACCAAUGAACUGAACACGAACAAGAAAUCUCUCCAGUAGUCACAAUCAGUCUGACGAUUGUCAAUGAAGCUGACCUAUGACACCUUCAGCAACACUCACCCACUUUUUACAUGCCCACAAUAUACACUGCUAACCAUAGUUGUCUAGACACAAAUCUAAAGCUGAAAAAGAUGUCACAAAAUUCACACU